rnacentral:lncRNA from 1 species
UGAACGGUCUUGUUGCAGGUAUCAUGGGUCAUUUCCUUCAGUCUCCAAAGAGAAGGGAGGGGCUUCUGAGGAGAACAGAGGCCAAAGAUGUGCAUCUGAGAGACAGCCAUGAGUGCUCUUUCUUCUGCCCUGAUAAGCUGAACGGUCAGAAUUGAUCCUGCUGUGGCGGAGUCAUCACGUUUAGCUGCUGUGGACUGACCAAUGGAGAAUACCUAGGAAGUACUGUUUUAUGAAGGAGCAGUUCAAGUGAGAAUUUUCAUUCUGGUUCAGCAAACAAAGAUAAAUGCGAUGAAGAGGCUCCGUGAUAGACUAUGAUAUGAGCUGUUUAAUGGGAAAUUUUCUCAGAACUUUCAAUGGCAUGCAUACUGCACUUCAAAAGAUCUGAUCUUGUGUCCUUUGAAUGUCAACGACACCAAUACUACAGCCUAGAGAAGCCCAAGGACAAAUUUUUGCAGAUCUUGCUAUUCUACAGGAUAAAUCAAAAUCCAAGACAAAAAUGGAGAAAGGGAAAUAGAACUACAGGAGGAUGAAGCAAUUUGACCAUGGCCAGGGAAUCUUAUUGGUCAGUAGCAUACCUGGGAACAGAUCUCAAUCUCCUGACUCAAUUUCUUGUUUCCUUUUUUCCUUGUGUUUUAUGACUUCAUGUAGAAUUUAG